UGCAGUCGACGAUGAUCCGGUGCUUGCAUCGGGGAUUAGUGGCGAACGGGUGAGUAACACGUGAGUAACCUGCCCUUAACUCUGGGAUAAGCCUGGGAAACUGGGUCUAAUACCGGAUAUGACUCCUCAUCGCAUGGUGGGGGGUGGAAAGCUUUUGUGGUUUUGGAUGGACUCGCGGCCUAUCAGCUUGUUGGUGAGGUAAUGGCUCACCAAGGCGACGACGGGUAGCCGGCCUGAGAGGGUGACCGGCCACACUGGGACUGAGACACGGCCCAGACUCCUACGGGAGGCAGCAGUGGGGAAUAUUGCACAAUGGGCGCAAGCCUGAUGCAGCGACGCCGCGUGAGGGAUGACGGCCUUCGGGUUGUAAACCUCUUUCAGUAGGGAAGAAGCGAAAGUGACGGUACCUGCAGAAGAAGCGCCGGCUAACUACGUGCCAGCAGCCGCGGUAAUACGUAGGGCGCAAGCGUUAUCCGGAAUUAUUGGGCGUAAAGAGCUCGUAGGCGGUUUGUCGCGUCUGCCGUGAAAGUCCGGGGCUCAACUCCGGAUCUGCGGUGGGUACGGGCAGACUAGAGUGAUGUAGGGGAGACUGGAAUUCCUGGUGUAGCGGUGAAAUGCGCAGAUAUCAGGAGGAACACCGAUGGCGAAGGCAGGUCUCUGGGCAUUAACUGACGCUGAGGAGCGAAAGCAUGGGGAGCGAACAGGAUUAGAUACCCUGGUAGUCCAUGCCGUAAACGUUGGGCACUAGGUGUGGGGGACAUUCCACGUUUUCCGCGCCGUAGCUAACGCAUUAAGUGCCCCGCCUGGGGGAGUACGGGCCGCAAGGCUAAAACUCAAAAGGAAUUGACGGG
rnacentral:rRNA from 1 species